rnacentral:rRNA from 1 species
UUGACCUCUGACCUCAAAUCAGGUAGGGUUACCCGCUGAACUUAAGCAUAUCAAUAAGCGGAGGAAAAGAAACUAACAAGGAUUCCCCUAGUAACUGCGAGUGAAGCGGGAAAAGCUCAAAUUUAAAAUCUGGCAGUCUUUGGCUGUCCGAGUUGUAGUCUGGAGAAGUGCUUUCCGUGCUGGACCGUGUACAAGUCUCUUGGAACAGAGCGUCAUAGAGGGUGAGAAUCCCGUCUUUGACACGGACUACCAGUGCUUUGUGAUGCGCUCUCAAAGAGUCGAGUUGUUUGGGAAUGCAGCUCAAAAUGGGUGGUGAAUUCCAUCUAAAGCUAAAUAUUGGCGAGAGACCGAUAGCGAACAAGUACCGUGAGGGAAAGAUGAAAAGCACUUUGGAAAGAGAGUUAAACAGUACGUGAAAUUGCUGAAAGGGAAACGCUUGAAGUCAGUCGCGUUGGCCAGGACUCAGCCUUGCUUUUUUGCUUGGUGCAUUUUCUGGUUGACGGGUCAGCAUCAGUUUUGAUUGUCGGAAAA